rnacentral:rRNA from 1 species
UACGAGGGGGGCGAGCGUUGUUCGGAAUUAUUGGGCGUAAAGGGUGCGUAGGCGGUUCCGCAAGUCCUGUGUGAAAUCUUCGGGCUCAACUCGAAGUCUGCACGGGAAACUGCGGGGCUAGAGUCCGGAAGAGGAGAGUGGAAUUCCCGGUGUAGCGGUGAAAUGCGCAGAUAUCGGGAAGAACACCCGUGGCGAAGGCGGCUCUCUGGGACGGUACUGACGCUGAGACGCGAAAGCGUGGGGAGCGAACAGG